rnacentral:rRNA from 1 species
AGCGAACGCUGGCGGCAGGCUUAACACAUGCAAGUCGAACGCUGUAGCAAUACAGAGUGGCGGACGGGUGAGUAACACGUGGGAACGUGCCCUUCGAUUCGGAAUAACUCUGGGAAACUAGAGCUAAUACCGGAUACGCCCUUCGGGGGAAAGAUUUAUCGUCGAAGGAUCGGCCCGCGUCUGAUUAGCUAGUUGGUGGGGUAAUGGCCUACCAAGGCGACGAUCAGUAGCUGGUCUGAGAGGAUGAUCAGCCACACUGGGACUGAGACACGGCCCAGACUCCUACGGGAGGCAGCAGUGGGGAAUAUUGGACAAUGGGCGCAAGCCUGAUCCAGCCAUGCCGCGUGGGUGAUGAAGGCCCUAGGGUUGUAAAGCCCUUUCGGCGGGGAAGAUAAUGACGGUACCCGCAGAAGAAGCCCCGGCUAACUUCGUGCCAGCAGCCGCCGUAACAC